AGGAGUCGUCGUCUCGUUGCAGGAAAAGCGAGGUUGGCUCGGAUUUGGAUUGGGAGAGAGAGUACGGGAGGGGAGAGAGGGAGAAGGAGAUGGUAUUUGAUUCGGAGGAGGAGGUGUUGGGAUGCUCUACGUCUCUGGCGAGUCCGAGGGGGCUUGCGACACGUAGAGGGGAGGAGCCGCCACCUGUAUUUUGGCAACCGAACACUUGCCGGAAGAUCUGGGCCGCCGUGAGGAUUCGUUCCUAAGAGCAUGAGGCUUGUGACCUGGAUUAAUUGAGGGGUUGGC
rnacentral:lncRNA from 1 species